GACGAACGCUGGCGGCGUGCUUAACACAUGCAAGUCGAACGGAAAGGCCCUGCUUUUGUGGGGUGCUCGAGUGGCGAACGGGGGAGUAACACGUGAGUAACCUGCCCUUGACUUUGGGAUAACUUCAGGAAACUGGGGCUAAUACCGGAUAGGAGCUCCUGCUGCAUGGUGGGGGGUGGAAAGUUUCGGCGGGUGGGGAUGGACUCGCGGCUUAUCAGCUUGUUGGUGGGGUAGUGGCUUACCAAGGCUUUGACGGGUAGCCGGCCUGAGAGGGUGACCGGCGACAAUGGGACUGAGAUACGGCGCAGACUCCUACGGGAGGCAGCAGUGGGGAAUAUUGCACAAUGGGCGGAAGCCUGAUGCAGCAGCGCCGCGUGCGGGAUGACGGCCUUCGGGUUGUAAACCGCUGUCGCCUGUGACGAAGCGUGAGUGACGGUAAUGGGUAAAGAAGCACCGGCUAACUACGUG
rnacentral:rRNA from 1 species